rnacentral:ncRNA from 2 species
AUGAUCGCGAUGAUAGGACCCAGUAGUCAGACUAUCCCUGUUUCAGAGAGCCGGUGGUUAGUGGAAAUCGGUACAAAUGGUAUGAUGAAUUACUUCCUGGAGCAUUUGCUGUGAAAUGAUUAGUAGCAGGAAACGGCUGACGACCGUUAUUCGUCUUGAGCGGAGGGCAUAUUAUGUCCUCAAGUUGGGUGGUACCGCGAAUUCAUUCGUCCCUUCA